rnacentral:rRNA from 1 species
GAUGAACGCUGGCGGCGUGCCUAAUACAUGCAAGUCGAGCGAACAGACGAGGAGCUUGCUCCUUCGACGUUAGCGGCGGACGGGUGAGUAACACGUAGGUAACCUACCUAUAAGACUGGGAUAACUUCGGGAAACCGGAGCUAAUACCGGAUAAUAUUUCGAACCGCAUGGUUCGAUAGUGAAAGAUGGCUUUGCUAUCACUUAUAGAUGGACCUGCGCCGUAUUAGCUAGUUGGUAAGGUAACGGCUUACCAAGGCAACGAUACGUAGCCGACCUGAGAGGGUGAUCGGCCACACUGGAACUGAGACACGGUCCAGACUCCUACGGGAGGCAGCAGUAGGGAAUCUUCUGCAAUGGGCGAAAGCCUGACAGAGCAACGCCGCGUGAGUGAUGAAGGUCUUCGGAUCGUAAAACUCUGUUAUUAGGGAAGAACAAACGUGUAAGUAACUGUGCACGUCUUGACGGUACCUAAUCAGAAAGCCACGGCUAACUACGUG